rnacentral:rRNA from 1 species
GACGAACGCUGGCGGCGUGCCUAAUACAUGCAAGUCGAACGCUGAAGAGAGGAGCUUGCUCUUCUUGGCUGAGUUGCGAACGGGUGAGUAACGCGUAGGUAACCUGCCUUGUAGCGGGGGAUAACUAUUGGAAACGAUAGCUAAUACCGCAUAACAAUGGAUGACACAUGUCAUUUAUUUGAAAGGGGCAAUUGCUCCACUACAAGAUGGACCUGCGUUGUAUUAGCUAGUAGGUGAGGUAAUGGCUCACCUAGGCGACGAUACAUAGCCGACCUGAGAGGGUGGUCGGCCAAACUGGGACUGAGACACGGCCCAGACUCCUACGGGAGGCAGCAGUAGGGAAUCUUCGGCAAUGGGGGCAACCCUGACCGAGCAACGCCGCGUGAGUGAAGAAGGUUUUCGGAUCGUAAAGCUCGGUUGUAAGUCAAGAACGGGUGUGAGAGUGGAAAGUUCACACUGUGACGGUAGCUGACCAGAAAGGGACGGCUAACUACGUG